AUGCAAUGAUAUGAACAUCUUCUUAGCAACUCUUUAUAUCUUUCCCAAGCUUCAUAUAGUGAUUCUCCUUCUUGCUGCACAAAGGAUGUGAUUUCCCCUCUCAGUUU